UGUCUCUGCAGGGACGCCGGGGAGGAAAUGGAGAACGCGGACCCGAUGGACUCUCUGGCUUCCCUGGACCUCAGGGGGGACCGGGACCAGCUGGAGACCCGGGACAAACUGGACGUCGCGGCCCUAACGGACAGAAGG